UAUCAAGAACAUGACGAUGAAACUAACGCAGUGAGCAAGUAGAGAAAGAGAAGUGAAGGUGGUGUAGAAAGACAGAGAGAAAUGGCAGCUACUUCUAUCUGUGACAAGCUUUUCACCUCCCGUUCCGAUUCUGAUUUCUCCUCUCUUCCCAGAUUCCAGAACCUCCGACGGCUCAAACCGUCGAGGUACCCUCCUUGUCGCCACGGUGCCACCAAGUCCCACGGGAUCCGGGCGAUGAUUUGGCCUGCUCCCGCCGCUCCUCCGCCGACGCCUGCAGACUCCGAGACGGGUACUAAUGGAGCUGUGGAGGUUAACGGUUCAGUUGAUGACAGUGGCUAUUCGUUUUUGAAACGCGAUGGGUCCAAAACCAUUCAUGCUGCUGAGAGAUUAGGCCGGGGUAUUAAAACUGAUGCAAUCACCACUCCUGUGGUGAACACUUCUGCUUACUUCUUCAAGAAAACCUCUGAUCUCAUUGACUACAAGGAGAAGCGCCAAUUUAGUUUUGAAUAUGGACGAUAUGGAAACCCGACGACAGUGGUUUUGGAGGAGAAGAUGAGUGCACUGGAAGGGGCUGAAUCAACUCUGUUUCUGGCAUCUGGGAUGUGUACUAGCACGGUGAUGUUCAUGGCAUUGGUCCCUGCUGGUGGACAUAUUGUGACCACUACAGAUUGCUAUAGGAGGACCAGAAUUUUCAUUGGGAACAUGCUUCCUAAGAUGGGAAUCACGGCCACAAUAAUUGAUCCUUCCGAUUAUGAUGCCUUGGAAGAAGCAUUGGAAAAGAACAAUGUCUCAUUGUACUUUGCUGAGACGCCAACCAAUCCAUUCCAAAGAUGUGUGGACAUUGAGCGCGUUUCGGAACUUUGUCACAGAAAAGGUGCAUUGGUCUGCAUUGAUGGUACCUUUGCCACACCCAUCAACAUGAAGGCCCUUUCUCUUGGAGCUGAUCUUGUGGUGAACUCUGCAACAAAGUACAUUGCUGGACAUCAUGAUGUCAUUGCUGGUUGCAUUAGUGGUUCGGAGAAGUUGAUUUCACAAGUUCGCAGUUUGCAUUUCAUUUUGGGUGGAACUCUUAGCCCGAGUUCUGCAUACCUAGUCCUUAGAGGCAUGAAAACUCUGCAUCUCCGUGUACGACAACAAAACUCAACAGCAAUGAAGAUGGCUGAAAUUUUAGAGGCACAUCCUAAGGUGAAGCAAGUCUAUUAUCCAGGCUUGCCAAGUCAUCCUGAACAUGAACUCGCCAAGAGACAGAUGACUGGUUUUGGUGGUGUUGUCUGUUUUGAUAUUAAUGGGGAUUUUGAAACUACCAUCAAAUUUGUCGAUUCGCUGAAAAUUCCAUACAUUGCUCCAUCUUUUGGUGGCUGUGAGAGUGUUGUGAAUCAGCCUGCUAUUAUGUCUUACUGGGAUCUUCCCCGGCCAGAAAGGGAAAAGUUUAGAAUUUAUGACAAUUGUGUUCGCUUCUGCUUUGGAGUCGAAGACUAUGAGGAUUUGAGGGAUGAUGUCCUACAGGCUCUGGAUGCAAUAUAGGCCAUACCUAAGCUUGGUGAAUCAAUUGAAUUUUGAUAAUUGAAUGUUCUGUUGGGGUUUAUGUUGGAGGAACAGAGAUCCUCUGGCAUCGACGCUGAAACCUUGUGGCAUGUAAUCAGCAUGGAGAUCUUGAAGCUCACAUCUUGUCUAUAAAUAAGAGAAGUUACAUCACAUGUUUAGAUUUGUAGGGCUUUGAGCUUGUCUAACCCCAUUUGGAAGAGAUUAUUCAAGCUUAUCUUAUAGCAUAAACGCUUAUAGAAGUAUUUGAGAUUUCUUAUGUAACUAGUUUAUAGCCUUCCUGUAAGCUGUUUUUGGCUAUUUGCAUAAGCUGUUUAGAUUGGUGUAUAA